UAGUUAUAAGAAGAGUUUGUUCCUAAAGUGCUUGAUUGAAGGUCAUAUAGUGCUAUUUCUAUAAUAGCAAUUUUAUAGAUUUUAAUAAUAGGUGUAUUUUAUUGGAUAAGUAUAGUGGACUUUAUGAAUUAGCUUAUAAGGAAAGACAACCUUCCUUUUCUCCCUUCUUCUACCAAGGUGCCGUAUCCCUCUUCUUUUCCUCAACCUCCAUGUUUGUCGAUCCAAGCUCCAAGAAUCACUCCAAAAAUCACACCUAUAUUCAUCCAGAAACGUAUAUUAAGGUUUGAGUGGCAGUGUAGAGUGAACAAGCAAAGACUUCUAUUUCAUUAAGCGUAUCAGGUUUGAGUGGCAGUGUAGAGUGAACAAGCAAAGACUUCUAUUUCAUUAAGCGUAUCAGGUUGAGCUGAUGUGAUGAUGGUGCUGCAAUGAGCGGAGUCUCCAGGGUUGUUAAUAAAUAGUUAACCUGUCUAGAAUAUGUCUUCAUACAUAUGUCUAGCUACUUUCCGCUGCAAGAUGUUGUUAAUGUUAUAGUAUGUUAUGCCAUACUUUGAGUCUUAAGAGAAUGGUUUCAUAUGAUGUAUAACUCGAUUAAUGAUAUUAAUUAAGUUUUAUGUUGUCUUUCAUA